CUGCCCCGCCACCAGGCGCCACCCAACCCGGGCUCCACCUGCGGGUGGGCGGGGCUUCGCGAGGCCACGCCCCCUCCCCAGCCGCGCGCCAAACCCAGGUGAGCCCCUGGGCAGGCGGGGGGCCUGGGGCCAGGCCGGGAGGGGACAUUCCUUACCCCUGAGAUCAGGCUGCAGAGGCUGGUGGCUCCUGCCGCUGUCGCCUGCCAGGGUCCUGCCCAGGAGCACCCCGUCUCCCAGCUGCUUUGGCAGAGAUCGGGAGGCCGAGGCAGGAGGAUCGCAAGGUGGAGGCCAGCCUCAGCCACUCAGCAAGGACCUGAACCACUCAGCGAGACCCUGUCGCUAAAUAAAGUCUAAAAAGGGCUGGGGACGGGGCUCAGGGGUUCAGCACCCCUGGGUUCCAUUCUUGGUACCAAAAAAACAAAACAAAAAAGUGGGGUGAGAAAUGUCCCUUAUGCCCACAGAGUCACGUGCCGCCCUCUCCCACCCCUGGGGACAGACGAGCGGAGGGACCCACGGGCGCUGCUGCUUCCGCUGUGUGAUGGGUGGCUAUUUGUCACACUCACAGCCUCUAGAAGCUUCGGUCCAGCGACCAACCUUGAAGAAUGUCUCUUUAAAAAGGAACAGAUAGGAUGAGUGGGCAGAAAGAGCCAGGAGGCCACGCUCGUGUUUGUCACGGUGACAUCUGAAAGUUCUCCCCCCCCAAAGCCUCGUUUGGCAAGAGGACCCGAGUUCCACCCCGUCCCCGACUCCGUUGGGUGCAGGCUGUGUGACCUUGGGCCACUGAUCUAACCUCUCUGAACCUCUUCCCCUUUUGAUGUUGCUGUAAAUCAAACCUAGGACUCCCUGGGGGCUGGGCGGCUCGGGUCCCUCUGUGGGGCUGUGUGUGAGUCCCAGGUUGGUCACAGGGGAGACCCGGACUCCUCCUGAGGGCCCUGGGCCAAGAUGGGGGUGACCCCUCCACACACCCCGCAGGGAGGCGCCUGAGGCCGGAUCCAGUUUCUGGUGGGACUGGUUCUCCUGGGCAGCCCUUGAUGAAUGGCCCAGAUAAGGACCCUGCAGGUCGCCUGGGCCAGGCAGGGGACCCACACCGGGAAAGGUCCCCAGUCUGGCUCAGAGGGGGUGACCGGGGUCUGUCCUUCCUGCUGCUGUCACUAGUUUUAUUUUUGGGGGGUGGGGGACACCCAGAUGCUCUUUCUCAACCUGUCCCCUGCCUGCAGGGAGGUGCCCCGGGAUGGGGUUCACGAUUCCACCGCGUUCAGAGGUCUCUGCUUCAGAUCAACCUUCUAGAAACUUCCAGGACCUGGCUGGCUCCGUCCCCAGGGCCAGGGCUGACCCCCUCCUGUGUCCUCUGCAGGGAGGUGGCCCUGGGUGAUGUCCCCUGCCAUCGCUGUUUCCUGAGAAUGGCUCCUUUUCAUUUCUGUGCUUGGGACAAGGAGUCCCAGGUCAGAGGCCAGGACCUAGUGGCCUUGGGACUCACACUCAGGGGGUCCCUAACCAGAGGGGGCUGCUUGAUCCUCUGGGCCCCAGGACAGUCCCACCAGAGCCUCAGCUCAAGGCCUCAAGAAUGGCUUUCAGACUGGGCGUGGUGGCCCCCCCGCCUGUCAUCUCAGCAGCUCAGGAGGCUGAGGCAGGAGGAUCGCCAGGUGGAGGCCGGCCUCAGCCACUCAGCGAGACCCUGUCUCUAAA
rnacentral:lncRNA from 1 species